rnacentral:rRNA from 1 species
GUUGUUGCGGUUAAAAGCUCGUAGUUGGAUUUCUGUUGAGGUCGGCCGGUGUACAUUACGUGUAUUAUUUGGUUUGGUCUCGGCAUCCUCUGAGGCACGAGGGACUUUAUUGGCUCUCGAGUUUUCAGACUUUUACUUUGAGGAAAUUAGAGUGUUCACGGCAAGCAAGCGCUUUGAAUACAUUAGCAUGGAAUAAUAAUAUAGGACCUUCGUUCUAUUUUGUUGGUUUCUAGAACUUGGGUAAUGAUUAAUAGGGACAAUUGGGGGCAUUCGUAUUAACGCGUCAGAGGUGAAAUUCUUAUAUUGUGUUACGGCGAACUACUGCGAAAGCAUUUGCCAAAGAUGUUUUCAUUGAUCAAGAACGAAAGUAUGGGGAUCGAAGAUGAUUAGAUACCGUCGUAGUCUAUACCAUAAACUAUGCCAACUAGGGAUUGGACAGGUACCUUUAUCGACCUGUUCAGCACCUUAUGA